UCCCUAUUUAAUGGCUGUCAGUAAGAAGGAGACAGAACGCGGCGGGUAAUUAAAAACAAAUUGCAGAGCCUGCCUGUCUAAAGCCUGCGGGACUGAAAAGCUUCUAUUGCGAAGACAGAACCCUCGACCUGGGGCUGCCUAUCCCUGCCUGGCAAGGCUGGAGCAAGAGAUGCUGUUUGGAAACAGUGUGAUUCCACAAAUGUGUGCAGGGGAGAUAUUUCGAAACAACAUCUUGCCCUCCGCGCUGUUUUUCACAUGGCUUUGCAGUUAGAAGAUGCAGAUGCUGACAAUUACUAUGGAUGCUGGACAGCUUUGACUCCUGACGUUGUCCUUUGUGUCUUUUUGACAUUUCAGAUUUCAACCAUCGACUUCUUUUAGGACUGUCAACUGUGACCUUUGGCCCUUUUGGGAAUGGAGUUUUUGACCCUAGCUGUCUUGAGACUAGAACUGGACCUCUUUAUUUUGGCUUUAGACUUUGAACCUUUGGACUUGUGGGAAUUGCCCCUGAGAAGGUUCCUCCAUGAAUUACAUUGCACAGGAGCCCCAAAGAAGGUUACCUUUUUGUUUUGUCACAUCUCCAGGAACAACAGGAAACUUUUCACAAGCUCUUGCUAAAUUAGCAGCUGGUACAUUUUUAAGAAAAGAUCAGAAGGUCACUUUUGCUGGAACAAGGCGCUGAAGCAUUACAAGACCUUUAGACCUUUGUGACCAGUGGCCCUGCAAUCUUUCACUCUGUCAUGUUUAACUAAAACCAAUACCUAUUCAAUCCGGCAUCCAUCAGUGUUACUUUAGAACAUGCCAGACUGCUGUCCAUGCAUCUGGGUUCCUUUUCACCCUCGUAUUUAUGGUAAACAUUCCUAACAGCAGCUGGGUGAUGGGAAUUUUAAUUUUAACAGGUUAAUCAAUUGCUAGUUAAGAGCUGCAGUAAACAUUUACCAGCCUAAUUUACCCUGAGACGGCAACAUUUCCAUUGACUGUUUUUUUCUUUUUCAUUGUUAAGCAACGGUUUGUUAUUUUUGUGUAAUUCUUAUUAAGCAUUACCGCUGUGAACAAACUGUUGCUUUCAAAUACAUUUGAACACCCAUACAAUGCAAAUGCGUACACUCCCAUUUUAUCUGUUCUUUUGCUCGACAAUAUAUUUGAACUCAGUACUGUAGAAACACUAUGGAGGUACACUAAUAGCUGAAUACUCAGUACUGUACAAACACUAUGGAGGUAUACUAAUAGCUGAAUACAUUAUCUAACGUUCUUUAUAUCUACCUGUGAAACUGGAAACGUUAUACCUUAAAUGCACCAAGGCAAGAACAAUUUGCUUUAGCUUUGAAAAAUGUCUAGAAUGCCAUUUAAUGGUUUAAUGGCUCUGUUGUUCCUCAGUGCUAACAGGGAUCUUUACUGAUGCCAAAACAGACUGGAUCUUUAUCUUUAAGAUCAUAGUAAACAGCACAGUGACACCUAACACCUGGGAAGCAUUAGUUGACAGUAUUCCCUGACUUAGCCAUCAACAUGACUUCAUGCACCCCAGCUGCUGCUUUGUGGCAGUACUGGACAGGACUAAAUAAGUUUUGAGAUGCGAAAAUAGAGUGGACUAAAGCUUUAUGGUGUUUCCGUCUUCUUCUGUGAAACUAUGGUAUGGAGAUUAAAUAUUGUACUGUAUUAUACUGUAUGCUGAACAGGAAUUAAGGGACUGUAAGCCACAUUGCAGCCCCUAACCUCUAAACUACAUUGUCUCAUUGAAAAGCUCCCGAAUACAGCAGUUCAUCCCAAAUGGCAAUUACCAGGACAGAAAAGCUGGACAUCUCUCUGACUCACUCCUGCUUCCUUACUACCUAUUGGAACGGUCCAAACAGUGGCGGACGAUCUUAAUGUGGCUCAGACAACCUAUAAAACCAGCGCUUUCGCUGAUCUUUUUCUAUUGACUGACUGUGCUAGUCUGGUCUUGUGUCACUAUUACAGCAAUUUAAGGUAUUGCAUCAUUCUGGUCAGUACCAGAGUACUGAUGCUGUUUCUGUUCCUAUUCACGUCAGAAUCCCCAGCCUCUUUGAAGGUUGACUGCAGGGAAUGGCCAUCAGAACUCAGGAAAGAAUACGCCUUCGGAAUUGGUACAUGCACUAGAAAUGAAUAGCAAGGCAUGACAUGGUAUGACAUUCUGAUCUUGCUGUAUACCAAUAGCAGCAACAGUUAUUUACAGUCCAAAGUGUGACUGUCAGUUCAAAAAACGACAUGUUUGUCACGUCUAAAUAUUUUAGCAACAGCAUAUUACUCAAGGAGGCACUUAAUAAGGCAACACAUUAUUUGAAAGCUUUCUUAAUUAACAGUGUAUGUAAUUAUCUAAUAAUUAAUACCUGGAAGCUGUUAAAACAAUAGAAUUAAAUAGUUUUGCCAUUCUGUAUGUAAUUAACAAUUACAUGCAUAUCCAUUUACCCUGAUAUAUUUUCCUUAAUCAGGAAUCAGAAUUGCUUUGAUUAAAAUGAAUACAUUUAUAUGACGUUGAGCAGUUAAGCAGGAACUGGGAUAUGCAUACACAGUUUAUUCCAUUCAUUAUUUUUUCACUAUUUUAUAAUUUAAUGAAGUUAAUUCAUAAUAUAAUUGCAACAACUUAAAGGAUAAAUGCAAAUUAAACAAAUGUUCAUGUUGGGAAAGUAGAAUUUAU